rnacentral:rRNA from 1 species
GAUGAACGCUGGCGGCGUGCUUAACACAUGCAAGUCGAACGGGAAUUAUUUUAUUGCAACUUCGGUCGAUUUCAUUUAAUUCUAGUGGCGGACGGGUGAGUAACGCGUGGGUAACCUGCCUUAUACAGGGGGAUAACAGUCAGAAAUGGCUGCUAAUACCGCAUAAGCGCACAGAGCUGCAUGGCUCAGUGUGAAAAACUCCGGUGGUAUAAGAUGGACCCGCGUUGGAUUAGCUUGUUGGCAGGGUAACGGCCUACCAAGGCGACGAUCCAUAGCCGGCCUGAGAGGGUGAACGGCCACAUUGGGACUGAGACACGGCCCAGACUCCUACGGGAGGCAGCAGUGGGGAAUAUUGCACAAUGGGGGAAACCCUGAUGCAGCGACGCCGCGUGAAGGAAGAAGUAUCUCGGUAUGUAAACUUCUAUCAGCAGGGAAGAUAGUGACGGUACCUGACUAAGAAGCCCCGGCUAACUACGUG